AACGAACGCUGGCGGCAUGCCUAACACAUGCAAGUCGAACGAGACCUUCGGGUCUAGUGGCGCACGGGUGCGUAACGCGUGGGAACCUGCCUUUAGGUUCGGAAUAACUCAGAGAAAUUUGAGCUAAUACCGGAUAAUGUCUUCGGACCAAAGAUUUAUCGCCUUUAGAUGGGCCCGCGUUGGAUUAGCUAGUUGGUGGGGUAAAGGCCUACCAAGGCGACGAUCCAUAGCUGGUCUGAGAGGAUGAUCAGCCACACUGGGACUGAGACACGGCCCAGACUCCUACGGGAGCAGCAGUGGGGAAUAUUGGACAAUGGGCGAAAGCCUGAUCCAGCAAUGCCGCGUGAGUGAUGAAGGCCUUAGGGUGUAAAGCUCUUUUACCCGAGAUGAUAAU
rnacentral:rRNA from 1 species